rnacentral:rRNA from 1 species
UACAAAUUUAAAAUGUAAAAUUUAUUUAAUAAAAUCAAAAUAAUAUGACAAACUUUAUAAAGUAAUUUAAACUUGAUUAUAUAUAAUAAAAUAAAAAUUUAAAUCAAUUAUAAUUAACAGUUUAUCAAAAACAUAGUUUAUUAAAUAAUCAUAAAUAAUUACUGCCCAAUUUUUUAAGUAAUGGCCGCGUAAGUGCUAAGGUAGCUUAAUAAUUUGUCUAAUAAUUUUAGUCUAGUAUGAAAGUAAAAUUAAUUAAAAAUUUUAAUUUUUAUUAAUUUAAAAAUAACAAUUAAAGUUAAAAUGCUUUUAAUAAUAUAAAGACGAAAAGACCCUAAUAAUUUUAAUAAUAAUUAUUUAGCUGGGGCGGCUGAUAAUAACAAAAUUUUAAAAUUAAAUAGUUUGAUUAAAAUUAAAUUUAGUAUAAGUUUAAUUACUAUAGGGUUAACAGAUUAAUUAAAUAAUUGAGCUCUAAUUAAUUAUUUAGUUUGUUACCUCGAUGUUGGAUUAAAAAUAUUAAUUUUAGAAAAAUAAAAUAAAAUUCGUCUGUUCGACGAUUAUAUUUUUACAUGAUCUGAGUUCAGAUCGGCGCGAGCCAGAUCGGUCUUUAUCUUAAAACUAUUAAUAUUAUAGUACGAAAGGAAUUAAAAUUAUUAAAAUUUGUUUAAAUUGGCAGAUUAGUGCAAUGAUUUUAGAAAUCA